rnacentral:lncRNA from 1 species
AACCACACAAAACCUCCAAACCGUCAUAGGAGCUUCAAGCUCCACAAACACCACUAGAAAUCAUCCAGACCCACCCUCUCCUUAUUUCCUUUUUCCGGCGAAGCCAUCCAGAAACCCCCCACCAACAAUAACCCACAAGCAGCUCCAAACAAAUUCAGAAACAGCAGCAAAACGAACUCCAAUCCCUAUCUCCCUCUUCUCCAUAUUUUCCGACGAAACCUUGCCGGAACACCAGUGAAAGCGACCUCCAUAUAUUUCCUUUGUUUUCUCAUUUUUCUAGUGAGAAACAACCAAGCUCAACCACGAAGCUCCAUGUCCAAAUCGCUACCCGACCCACUUCCUUUUCGUCCUCCAUUCCCAACCAAAACCUCACCGGAAAAUCGCCUAAACAGCCACCAAAUGCCGCCAGUCCCAUUCCCCUUCCC